GACGAACCGUGCGAACGUUAUUCGGAAUCACUGGGCUUAAAGCGCGUGUAGGCGGGAAGGCGCGUCGGUCGCUGAAAUCCCCCGGCUCAACCGGGGAAGUGGCGCCGAUACGACCUUCCUGGAGGGACGUAGGGGGACCUGGAACUUCCGGUGGAGCGGUGAAAUGCGUUGAGAUCGGAAGGAACGCCCGUGGCGAAAGCGAGGUCCUGGACGUUUUCUGACGCUGAGACGCGAAAGCCAGGGGAGCAAACGGG
rnacentral:rRNA from 1 species